GACGGAGGAUGCAAGUGUUAUCCGGAAUCACUGGGCGUAAAGCGUCUGUAGGUGGUUCGAAAAGUCCACUGUUAAAAAUUGAAGCUUAACUUCAAAGAUGCCGUGGAAACUUUCAAACUAGAGUGUGGUAGGGGUAGAGGGAAUUUCCAGUGGAGCGGUGAAAUGCGUAGAUAUUGGAAAGACCACCGAUGGCGAAGGCACUCUACUGGGCCAUUACUGACACUGAGAGACGAAAGCCAGGGGAGCAAACGGG
rnacentral:rRNA from 1 species